AAAAAAAAAAGAACCAAGAGGAAUACUGCAUUGCUCUGAUCACCCAGACACAUCUCUGAUACAUACCGAAAGCCUAGAGAAGAACAGGAGCCCUCUUCUUUCUUUAGUGCUUAUUAUGUGACAUUGAUUCUGCUGAGCUAUGAGCAAACGCACCUCAUGUAGCUAUUGAAAUCAGACACCUGGAACUGCCAGUUUAAAGAAAGAAAAAAAUACCAUGAUGCCUGCUCCUGCCUCCUGGUUCCCACUGUCAAAGGAUCCCAGACUGUCACCACAGAGAGGGCAUUCACGAACCAUUUCUGUGUGCUAUGAAAAACAGCUCUUAGUUAAGAAGAGGAAAGGAAAUCUGUAGAAGAAGCUGAUGAUGUGAACGCUCCUUUUAUAAUCCUCAUUUUGCUCCUGCCCUUUCUCCCACCAUGCAGACAGGAGGAGGGAGAAGCCAGGACAGAGGCCGUGAGAUACUGAGGGCUCAAGCUGCCUGCCAACACUUAGGUCCAUGUGGUUCCGUCCAUCAGACUGAGCACCUGGCGCAUAAGACCUUGGAGCACGACUUCCACAUUUGCACCAUUUGAGAAGCUUUUGAAGCACUACUUGUGACCAAAGCCUCUGAUGCCCCGGUUUUACUUUUCUUACCCGACCUUCUUUGAGACAGCAACGUGGGCAGCACUGCACGAAGGACCCCGGAGCCGGCACGCUCCUACCCCCUGGAACCGCUCCUGCAGGACGCUGGGGAUGUCGAAGCAGAAGUAGGAGCCGAACGAAGGUCAGGAGGCAGUUGAAGAAAAGCACCACGAACCUGUAGCACGCUGAGCCCAGAGACGAGGCGCCUCGCCGCCGCUCCCAGACCGCCGCCGCCCGGCCCCACGGCCGCUGCUCGGCUCCGGGACGCAGCGGGGCCGGGGCCGGGGCCGGGGCCGGGGCCGGGGCCGGGGCCGGG